UGGGGAAUAUUGGACAAUGGGCGCAAGCCUGAUCCAGCCAUGCCGCGUGAGUGAUGAAGGCCCUAGGGUUGUAAAGCUCUUUCACCGGUGAAGAUAAUGACGGUAACCGUAGAAGAAGCCCCGGCUAACUUCGUGCCAGCAGCCGCGGUAAUACGAAGGGGGCUAGCGUUGUUCGGAUUUACUGGGCGUAAAGCGCACGUAGGCGGACUUUUAAGUCAGGGGUGAAAUCCCGGGGCUCAACCCCGGAACUGCCUUUGAUACUGGAAGUCUUGAGUAUGGUAGAGGUGAGUGGAAGUCCGAGUGUAGAGGUGAAAUUCGUAGAUAUUCGGAGGAACACCAGUGGCGAAGGCGGCUCACUGGACCAUUACUGACGCUGAGGUGCGAAAGCGUGGGGAGCAAACAGG
rnacentral:rRNA from 1 species